AUUGAACGCUGGCGGCAGGCCUAACACCUGCAAGUCGAACGAGUGGCGGCCGGGUGAGUAAUGUCUGGGAAAAUGCCCGAUGGAGGGGGAUAAAUACUGGAAACGGUAGCUAAUACCGCAUACCAUCGGAUGUGCCCAGGGGGGAUUAGCUAGUAGGUGGGGUAACGGCUCACCUAGGCGACGCUCCCUAGCUGUUCUGAGAGGAUGACCAGCCACCCGUGAACUGGGACACGGUCCAGAGUCCUACGGUGGGCAACAGGGGGGAGUAUUGCACAAUGGGCGCAAGCCUGAGGAAGCCAUGCCGCGUGUAUGAAGAAGUCCUUCGGGUUGUAAACCGCUUUCGGCCAUGACGCGGUAGUCGCAGAAGAAGCACCGGCUAACUACGUGCCAGCCGCCGCGGUAAUUC
rnacentral:rRNA from 1 species